rfam:Candidatus Burkholderia brachyanthoides strain TZHbot7 BRCHctg182, whole genome shotgun sequence.
CUGCUAACGUGGGGGUCCUGCGUUGCGCAUCGUGGUUUUAGCCGGUUUGUUUGGCGAAUCGCUUCGCGCAGCGUGGGUGAGAAAUACCCUUUGAACCUGAUCUGGAUAAUGCCAGCGCAGGGAAGCGUUCGAGUCCGGCGG